GAUGAACGCUGGCGGCGUGCCUAAUACAUGCGAGUCGAACGCGCAGCGAGAGGUGCUUGCACCCUUCAAGCGUGUGGCGAACGGGUGAGUAACACGUGGAUAACCUGCCUCAAGGCUGGGGAUAACAUUUGGAAACAGAUGCUAAUACCGAAUAAAACUUAGUAUCGCAUGAUAUCAAGUUAAAAGGCGCUACGGCGUCACCUAGAGCUGGAUCCGCGGUGCAUUAGUUAGUUGGUGGGGUAAAGGCUUACCAAGACGAUGAUGCAUAGCCGAGUUGAGAGACUGAUCGGCCACAUUGGGACUGAGACACGGCCCAAACUCCUACGGGAGGCUGCAGUAGGGAAUCUUCCACAAUGGGCGCAAGCCUGAUGGGGCAACGCCGCGUGUGUGAUGAAGGCUUUCGGGUCGUAAAGCACUGUUGUAUGGGAAGAAAUGCUAAAAUAGGGAAUGAUUUUAGUUUGACGGUACCAUACCAGAAAGGGACGGCUAAAUACGUGCCAGCAGCCGCAGUAA
rnacentral:rRNA from 1 species